GAUUACCCCAAAUCCAAAAAACCUAAGAAUGCCUCUCUCGCUCUCGCUCAGGAACGAAGAACGCCUCUCUCUCUCUCUCUUCAGUGGAAUCUUAGGGCGAAGGAAAACAGGGAGAAGGGAGAGAGAGAGAAAGCUGAUGGACAAACGGAAGAGGGAGAGAGUGGAAGAGAGGGACGGGCGGAGAACUGAAUGUUAAGGGAGAAGGAGGAGGAGAAGAUAAGGAAGAGAAGGAGAAGAGAAGGAGGCGGAGAACUACCGCUGCCUGAAAUUGCAGCGGUGAUGAAAAACAGGAGAAGAGAAGGACGAAAAUGCUGGGAGGAAGAAGAAGAGGAAAGAGAGGGAAAGAGAGAGAGAACGGACGGAGACCUACUGUUGGUUCGCCGCCGCUGUCGAGAGGAAAGGGUGAGUGCACAAUGUCAAACAGUGUAUUCCGGUGAAUCUGAGAAGAUGAAGAAGAAAGAAAAAAAAACAGAAUACAGAGGAACGAAGAAGGAAGAGAGAAAGAUAGGGAGGCCGGAGAUGGGGGUUUGCAACUCUCUCUCUCGUAUCACCGCCGCUGCAACUCUCAGCAGCGGCGACUCUCUCUCUCCCCCUGUCUUCCCACUUCCCGCAACCGCCGCUGCAACUUCUCUCUCGAUCACUCUCUCUCUCUUGACCGCCGCUGUCUCCUCAUUUCCCUGAUCAUCUCUGUCACUCCCUCCCCGUUUGAAACUCCAUGCAUCCUCUCGGCACGGACAGCAGUUGCCCGAGGCCUCUUCCAAAUGCCUCCAGUUCGUCUCAACAAUCGUUGUCUCGGAGAAAAAAAGAUACUUUUAGUUCGAUUUGGGGAGUCAAAAUUCGAAAGGCUUGGCAUAAUCAACACGAACCCAGUAGCAAAGACGUCCGUGGACAGCGGGCUCUCGGAACUAGGGAAGAAACAGACGGUGAGAGCGGUCCUCGCAUUGAAGGAGAUGGGAGAUUGCAGUGGAAAUUGCUGGAUUUGGCCUUCCAUCACCCAGAGAGCUUACCAGGCUGCAGAGGUCAUUGCCGCAGUUACUGGGAUUGAUCGGAGGUAGAUACACUUCCAGGGGUGUGAAUCUUUUACUCACCCCAUUCAUCCUUUUCUUUUCCCAAUGAAACUGUAAAAGGUUUUCUGACUUUCUCCCAUCACACUGAAAUUAAUUUGGAAGUAGAGUAUAGUCCAAUAAAAUCGACAGCUUCACUAUUCCCUCUUCUCUUUUAUGUUUUCUUUCUGCGAAGAUCGACGAACAAUUGCGCCCCUGUACAGCUUUAUAAAGACAAUUUGUAUGAGGUGUUUGAUCA